rnacentral:rRNA from 1 species
GACGGGAGCGGGGGAUUAGGGUUCGAUUCCGGAGAGGGAGCCUGAGAAAUAGCUACCACUUCUACGGAGGGCAGCAGGCGCGCAAAUUGCCCAAUGUCAAAAAAAAAGAUGAGGCAGCGAAAAGAAAUAGGGCCUGCAGACGGUUUACCGUAUGUGGGAUACAAUGGGGGAUAUUUAAUGCCAUCCAAUAUCGAGUAUCAAUUGGAGGACAAGUCUGGUGCCAGCACCCGCGGUAAUUCCAGCUCCAAAAGCGUAUAUUAACGCUGCUGCUGUUAAAGGGUUCGUAGUUGAAUUGUGGCUCGCGAAUCCGCUGUCCCGUCCUCUUGAGGGCGCCAGCGCUCGCUUGCCGUGAACAUUCGAAACACAAAACACGGGAAUGGUUCCUUUCCAUCCUCGCAUGUCAUGCAUGCGGAAAGGCGCCCGUGAUUUUUACUGUGACUAAAAAAGCGCGACCAAAGCAGUCGUUCGACCUGUAUUUUCAAGCAUGGGAUAACAAAGCUAACCUUCGGAUAUUUCCGGUUUCGGCUUUUGUUGGUUUUAACAGUCCGUAGGACAUUAUAAGUGAGUGUGACAGCCCUUUCGGGGGUUCCGGCUUGCCGGUUCAUUUCGCUUCAGAAUGAAAGAGGGUUGUCGGGGGAGAACGUACUGAGGCGUGAGAGGUGAAAUUCUUAGACCGCCUUAGACGAACUACAGCGAAGGCAUUCUCCAAGGAUACCUU